UGGCUCAGAGUGAACGCUGGCGGCGUGCCUAAUACAUGCAAGUCGAACGAUGAAGCUUCUAGCUUGCUAGAAGUGGAUUAGUGGCGCACGGGUGAGUAAGGUAUAGUUAAUCUGCCCUACACAAGAGGACAACAGUUGGAAACGACUGCUAAUACUCUAUACUCCUGCUUAACACAAGUUGAGUAGGGAAAGUUUUUCGGUGUAGGAUGAGACUAUAUAGUAUCAGCUAGUUGGUAAGGUAAUGGCUUACCAAGGCUAUGACGCUUAACUGGUCUGAGAGGAUGAUCAGUCACACUGGAACUGAGACACGGUCCAGACUCCUACGGGAGGCAGCAGUAGGGAAUAUUGCGCAAUGGGGGAAACCCUGACGCAGCAACGCCGCGUGGAGGAUGACACUUUUCGGAGCGUAAACUCCUUUUCUUAGGGAAGAAUUCUGACGGUACCUAAGGAAUAAGCACCGGCUAACUCCGUGCCAGCAGCCGCGGUAAUACGGAGGGUGCAAGCGUUACUCGGAAUCACUGGGCGUAAAGGGCGCGUAGGCGGAUUAUCAAGUCUCUUGUGAAAUCUAAUGGCUUAACCAUUAAACUGCUUGGGAAACUGAUAGUCUAGAGUGAGGGAGAGGCAGAUGGAAUUGGUGGUGUAGGGGUAAAAUCCGUAGAUAUCACCAAGAAUACCCAUUG
rnacentral:rRNA from 1 species